AAUGCUCAGCAAUGUAAGUUAAUGGCAUUUAAACUGUAUCUGAUUGUUCCUCUUAAUAGUAUUUUUACUUAAUAAAUAGUAGUACUCACAUAGGAUUAUUUGAAUGAAUGGCUGCUAUUUUGGAUAUUAUCUUAAAAUUUACUUUUAUGCAUUCUAAGUGCAAAAAUAAAAGAGAAAAGGAAGACUUUCUUUUUUACUCUCUCACUCUAUCUUAUUUUGUUCCUAAGCUUGUGCUACUGGUGUAUAUGUUUGUGUGCCAUGUAUGUUUUGAAUUCCUAGAAGAAUUAUUUAGUGAACAUUUUUUUAAAUAGGAAAAAAAUACUGCAAGAAAAAUAUCAGUGAACUUGAUAUAAUGUUCUGUUUUGGUUAGAACUGGAUCAUGAAUUUUAUUUUUGUCUUCCACGUUCUGUGAAUGGUAACACAAGAUGAUUAACUCUGUAUCUUAGAUUUGCUACGAAAGCAUGCUAAAAUUCUGUCAAUGUUGCUGUGUGGUUGAGGAUUGUGUUUUUUUCCUUCUUUCUACUUUCUGAUAGAGAGAACUGUAAAUGUUUUAUAUUCACAUGUGCAGUUGCUGUGUUAUAAUACAUAUAUAAGUUUAUGUUAUAAGCUAGGAUACUAUGGGGGUUUCCCUGGUGGCUCAGAUAGUAAAGAAUCUGCCUACAAUGUGGAAGACCUGGGUUUGAUAUCUGGGUUGGGAAGAUGCCCUGGAGGAGGAAAUGGCAACUCACUACAGUAGUCUUGCCUGUAAAAUUCCGAAGACAGAGGAGCCUGGUGGGCUGCAGUCCAUGGGAUUGCAAAGAGUUGGAUACAACUGAAUGACUAAGCACGCACACAGGAUACUAUUAUGGUUAUAUUUAUCAUUCUACCAGUAGCCAGUGAAAACCAUUACUGCCCUUCUUUUAAAAGAUUUUAAGUUAGUUAUAUUGUUAUGGAAGAAGUGGUUUAAGAAUUUGGACCUUUAAGCAUUUUAAUGGAGUUAUUUUCCUUUUAAUAAAGUUCAAAGCAAUUACACAUGUGUAAACCUUAAUAAUCAAUGGUUGUUCGAUCUUGUUAUUAUUAACUACAAUUAUAUUUGUGAAGUAAUAGACUUCUGACUAUAAUCAGAGAUGUAUUCACGGCCAUCUAAAGAGGGAAAGUUGUCUAUGCUUGCAGAAGUAAUGCAAUAGCUGGAACAGAGAGUAAAAAGCUAACCAAUAUUUAUCUAGUUUUAAAGCAAGUAUCAUGAUGUAAUCUUGGUUUUAGUGCCAACUUGGGGACCAUGUGGUUUCUGGUGAAAGUUUAAACCAUUGGAAAUAUAUUGUUUGAGACUCUUUUCUUUAAUAGUCCUUCCACUUUAGGAAGUUUAAAAAAUUUCCAUAAAAUAACUUGUGCUGAUUGCUUGCACUCUGUUUGAGACAAACACAUGUCGUUCAUGUAAUUUCGCUGUUUGUAAUUUUCCCAAACAUUCAUCUGAAGUGAACAGUUUCUGCUGAAGGCCACAGCUCUGUUGGGUGCUUUCAUUCUUCUGUUCUGAAUUCUCCUUAACCUACAUAGCUCAGCCUUUUCCUGCUGCAGAUCUUUCUUUUAGGUUCAUUUCAAACCAUCUUACUACUAUUCUAUAUCUUAAAUAUGUCACCUCUUACGUGUGUUAGAGUAAUUUUUUUGCUGCAUAAAAUCAGGCAUAUACUAUGGCCCCUUUUGAUUUCCUCUCAUUGAUUAGGCACUGAUGAUUUCAACAGAACAUGUAAUAGCCAAGGAUUUUGAAAAUUCUUGUGCUCAAAACUAUUGAGAAUAGAAUGCUAUUGCUGCUGCUAAGUCGCUUCAGUCGUGUCUGACUCUGUGUGACC
rnacentral:lncRNA from 1 species